CGAAUGGGGCAACCCGCUAUGUUGAAGACAUAGUACUCCGAUAGGAGAGUGAACCCGCUGAACUGAAACAUCUAAGUAGGCGGAGGAGAAGAAAACAAAAGUGAUUCCGUAAGUAGUGGCGAGCGAACGCGGAUUAGCCCAAGCCAGAGUUGUUACGGCAAUUUUGGGGUUGUAGGACUGCGAUCUUCUAUGCUAAUUGAAUUAGAAUAACCUGGAAAGGUUAACCAAAGAAGGUGAUAGUCCUGUAUAGGUAAGAGAAGAUAUAGAUAGCAGUAUCCUGAGUAGCGCGGGGCGCGUGAAACCCUGUGUGAAUCCUCCC
rnacentral:rRNA from 1 species